CCUACGGGAGGCAGCAGUGAGGAAUAUUGGUCAAUGGACGAGAGUCUGAACCAGCCAAGUAGCGUGAAGGAUGACUGCCCUAUGGGUUGUAAACUUCUUUUAUAUGGGAAUAAAACAGGGUAUGCAUACCCUCUUGUAUGUACCAUAUGAAUAAGGAUCGGCUAACUCCGUGCCAGCAGCCGCGGUAAUACGGAGGAGACGAGCGUUCUCCGGAUGUAUUGGGUUUAAAGGGAGAGUAGGUGGAUUGUUAAGUCAGUUGUGAAAGUUUGCGGCUAAACCGUAAAAUUGCAGUUGAAACUGGCAGUCUUGAGUACGGUAGAGGUGGGAGGAAUUCGGGGUGGAGCGGUGAAAUGCUUAGAGACAACGAAGAACUCCGAUUGCGAAGGCAGCUCACUGGACUGCAACUGACACUGAUGCUCGAAAGUGUGGGUAUCAAACAGGAUUAGAUACCCCUGUAGUC
rnacentral:rRNA from 1 species